AGGGUUGGGAAUGGGAGUAAAGGGCAAGAGGGCUGACACAGGUAUGUUUCUAACCCAUAAGUACCCUAACUAACCUUCUUGAGCCAAACCGAAUGGUCAUAGAAACAGUAAAAGGUUAGGAUUUAAGAGCUAGGGAAAGGGGAGUCCUCAACCACUACUAACCCUCAGGCCAGCUUUCUUCAUGGUACUGAUUUAUUUAGCCAGAGGGUACAGCCUGCUUAAACCCAAAUUCCCCUCAGUGGAGAGAGACCAAAGACCCUGUGGAAUGUCCCUGGUCCCAGCCUCUAUCUUCAGGUCAAUGAAAAAAAAAAAAAGAUCUGAGUCCCCCAGGUCUGGGAAGGAUUUGGAGGGGUCAAGAAAGGAGUGGUUAAGUAGGCUGAAGGUUACAGGGCAUUUGAAUCCAAAUCACUGCUCUGGGCUAGGGAAUAGAGCCAGCAGACCAAGGUGGAAGGGAUUCUAGAGGGGGACAUUUUAGUCCCCCAACCCCAAAGCUCAGGGUAGGAGGGAAAACAAGGGAGCAGAUUGUCUAUAAUAUUUUUUAUUUUUGGAAUACAGCAGUAUCUGGCAGCAGGGAGGGAACAGUACAGUGGGGAAAGGCAUCUGACAAGGCCAGUUACAGCAGAGGAUGGGAAGGACAGAGACUCCCUGGUUUGGAAGGAUAGGAAGCAGGCAGACUGGCUGCCACUUCAAGUCAUUAGCUGGGCCCAUUCAUUCAUCCCACAAUCCUGAUGCACACUCCUCUGGACUCACUGGGCCUCAGUUUCUUCCCCUCAAUGGAAUGAGAAAUAGCAGCACCCGCCACAGCCAAGAGAUGAAUUCUGAGCACUUACCACGGGCACUUUAUGGACAUAAAAUACCUCUCGCUGUGGGACCAGAUAACCAGGGCACCAGAGCAGUGGUGAAGAGAUGUGAGGCUUAGAGGAGUCACUGGCUUCAGAGAAUACACGUUUCCUCCUGCCUGCCAGCUGGAGUGCCUGAAGCCAAGGAGUUGAGAAUCUCCAUACCCUACCCAUACCUCACCAGCUGACCUCUUGGCUCCAGGCUAGAGCCUAGAGAAUGUCAGGAGAGGAGGGGGUGAAAACCUGCAGCAAAAUUACCACUCUAAAUAAAUCCAGCAGUUAUGGUCUGGUAGCAACAGUACUGAACUGAAGUAAAGCCCAUGCUGGAGAGCAAACCUGGAAGGCUUAUUCUUCCUAAGCAUAUGUCUCUCCUGCUUGGACUGGACCAUGGAAGGGGCAAAGGUAUGUGGUCACCCUGGGAAAGUAAUAUUGGUGAGCUUGAGCAUCUUACUCCUAUACUCAUAGUGAGAAAAUGAGACAAGGUGUUUCAGUAGAGGAAUAAGCAGGAGCUGUUAAGCUUUUCAACUAACCUCCCAUAUAGCAGCUAUGUCAACCCCAAGCCUCUCCUCUCUGGCCUUGUUCUUCAUCCUUUCUGCCUCAAUGGAGAAUAAGACACCUGAUGAUCAAUACCAUUUACAUUUCCUUGGCAGUAGGAGGAGUAGGAAGAGUGAAGAUAAUUCCCCAAAGGUCAAAUACCUCUUGAUCUUGGGACAGGGUAGGGAUUGGGCAGUAAGCAUCAGGUAACUUCCCUCUACAGAGUCUAGAGAGCUGGGGCAUUAAACUUGGGGGACACUUAAAAAUACUGCCCCUUGAGUACCACCAAAUAAAGAUCUUUGCGAGACAGGAGGGGGAGUUCCUUUUACGAAUAUAAGUCUAUGAGUUGAAGUCUCAGUCCACUGUUCUUCCUUAUCCCCAAAAAGCAUGGGAUAGAGAGGCUUGGGGACACAGCCCAGCAACCCAGCGGGAGCAACCCUCCUCCACCUUAUUUGUGUGAACCUGGCCAGCGCCCCUCUGAACAUAUUAUUAGUGUGAUUAUUUACUUUGUGUAUUUGUUACAUCAUGUGCGUGAUUGCCUUUGUUAAGAAUGUCUGAGGAAUAUGGGGCUGACAGGGCAUUGGAAUGCCGGGAAAGGACUUCUUCACUGAAAUCAAGGCUUCCUGGAAGGAACCAUUGCAAAAAGGCCAUCAGGCAGUUUUCAAGUUAUGUGACAAGAGGGCAAAGAUGGCCAUAGGGUGCUCUGAGUUUUGGGAUGGUCACAUGACACAAUCCAGCACUUGAACCUGAAAAAAGAAAAAUAAAAGCAGUCAAAGAGUUUAGAA
rnacentral:lncRNA from 1 species